rnacentral:rRNA from 1 species
AUUCCUACGGGGCGCAGCAGUCGGGAAUAUUGCGCAAUGGAGGAAACUCUGACGCAGUGACGCCGCGUAUAGGAAGAAGGUUUUCGGAUUGUAAACUAUUGUCGUGAGGGAAGAAAUUGACAGUACCUCAGGAGGAAGCUCCGGCUAACUCCGUGCCAGCAGCCGCGGUAAUACGGAGGAUUCAAGCGUUAUCCGGAUUUAUUGGGUUUAAAGGGUGCGUAGGCGGUCGGAUAAGUUAGAGGUGAAAUCCCGAGGCUCAACUUCGGAAUUGCCUCUGAUACUGUUCGGCUAGAGAGUAGUUGCGG